GAUGAACGCUGGCGGCGUGCCUAAUACAUGCAAGUCGAGCGAACGGACGAGAAGCUUGCUUCUCUGAUGUUAGCGGCGGACGGGUGAGUAACACGUGGAUAACCUACCUAUAAGACUGGGAUAACUUCGGGAAACCGGAGCUAAUACCGGAUAAUAUUUUGAACCGCAUGGUUCAAAAGUGAAAGACGGUCUUGCUGUCACUUAUAGAUGGAUCCGCGCUGCAUUAGCUAGUUGGUAAGGUAACGGCUUACCAAGGCAACGAUGCAUAGCCGACCUGAGAGGGUGAUCGGCCACACUGGAACUGAGACACGGUCCAGACUCCUACGGGAGGCAGCAGUAGGGAAUCUUCCGCAAUGGGCGAAAGCCUGACGGAGCAACGCCGCGUGAGUGAUGAAGGUCUUCGGAUCGUAAAACUCUGUUAUUAGGGAAGAACAUAUGUGUAAGUAACUGUGCACAUCUUGACGGUACCUAAUCAGAAAGCCACGGCUAACUACGUGCCAGCAGCCGCGGUAAUACGUANGUGGCAAGCGUUAUCCGGAAUAUUGGGCGUAAAGCGCGCGUAGGCGGUUUUUUAGUCUGAUGUGAAAGCCCACGGCUCAACCGUGGAGGGUCAUUGGAAACUGGAAAACUUGAGUGCAGAAGAGGAAAGUGGAAUUCCAUGUGUAGCGGUGAAAUGCGCAGAGAUAUGGAGGAACACCAGUGGCGAAGGCGACUUUCUGGUCUGUAACUGACGCUGAUGUGCGAAAGCGUGGGGAUCAAACAGGAUUAGAUACCCUGGUAGUCCACGCCGUAAACGAUGAGUGCUAAGUGUUAGGGGGUUUCCGCCCCUUAGUGCUGCAGCUAACGCAUUAAGCACUCCGCCUGGGGAGUACGACCGCAAGGUUGAAACUCAAAGGAAUUGACGGGGACCCGCACAAGCGGUGGAGCAUGUGGUUUAAUUCGAAGCAACGCGAAGAACCUUACCAAAUCUUGACAUCCUUUGACAACUCUAGAGAUAGAGCCUUCCCCUUCGGGGGACAAAGUGACAGGUGGUGCAUGGUUGUCGUCAGCUCGUGUCGUGAGAUGUUGGGUUAAGUCCCGCAACGAGCGCAACCCUUAAGCUUAGUUGCCAUCAUUAAGUUGGGCACUCUAAGUUGACUGCCGGUGACAAACCGGAGGAAGGUGGGGAUGACGUCAAAUCAUCAUGCCCCUUAUGAUUUGGGCUACACACGUGCUACAAUGGACAAUACAAAGGGCAGCGAAACCGCGAGGUCAAGCAAAUCCCAUAAAGUUGUUCUCAGUUCGGAUUGUAGUCUGCAACUCGACUACAUGAAGCUGGAAUCGCUAGUAAUCGUAGAUCAGCAUGCUACGGUGAAUACGUUCCCGGGUCU
rnacentral:rRNA from 1 species